rnacentral:rRNA from 1 species
CCUACGGGAGGCAGCAGUGGGGAAUAUUGGACAAUGGGCGAAAGCCUGAUCCAGCAAUUCCGCGUGUGUGAAGAAGGCCUUCGGGUUGUAAAGCACUUUAGUGGGGGAAGAAACAGCUUGGCCACACCAAGCCUUGACGGUACCCCAAGAAUAAGCACCGGCUAACUCUGUGCCAGCAGCCGCGGUAAUACAGAGGGUGCAAGCGUUAAUCGGAUUUACUGGGCGUAAAGGGUGCGUAGGUGGCUAUUUAAGUCGGAUGUGAAAGCCCGGGGCUCAACCUCGGAAUUGCAUUCGAUACUGAGUGGCUAGAGUUCGGUAGAGGGCGGCGGAAUUUCCGGUGUAGCGGUGAAAUGCGUAGAUAUCGGAAGGAACAUCAAUGGCGAAGGCAGCCGCCUGGGCCUGGACUGACACUGAGGCACGAAAGCGUGGGUAGCAAACAGGAUUAGAUACCCUGGUAGUCCACGCCGUAAACGAUGAGAACUUGACGUUGGUUCGUUUUACGAAUCGGUGUCGCAGCUAACGCGAUAAGUUCUCCGCCUGGGGAUACGGCCGCAAGGUUGAAACUCAAGAUGCGNNGAGAGNGCGACGACGACGAGAGGAGAG